CAGAGGAGACAGGAGACGAGCAAAGGAGACAACAUGCCCUGUGAGCCCUCUCAUUUCAGAAGGUCUCCAGCCACAUUUUCACUUGAGAAGAUCGAUGCCGACAACCAGUGUAUUCUUCAGAAUAUGCAUUGCCUGUGCAGUCACAUGAUGGACAUCCUUUAUAUUUUUGUCAAACCCACCACUGUCUUAAAUAAAUCAGUGUUCACUGAACAAGUGACAAGUUA